rnacentral:rRNA from 1 species
AUGGACAUGGAGGCAAUUUUGGCAAGCAGCAAUCAUCUUAUUGAGAUGGCCGGGGGCACCCACCCACAUCCUGAUGCUCUGGUACGCCUCCGGCAGGUGCUGGGCGCUGCUGCGACACGUUGCAUCUCCAGCCCCCCCAUCUACGCCUUUUGUCUAAAACAGAUGUUGGCCAACUUCGUUCGCAAUUUCGGCAAUGACAUCAGGGAGCUGGAUAACCUCACUGCUCGCCUCCAGGCCACGCGCAGCCCUAAAGGCCGCCGCCAUGAUGUCUCCCCCACUGCCCAGCUCGCUGGCCUACAUGGAAAUGAUCUAUUCCGUGCACUGAUGGCCCUGCACCUGCCCAUGACCGCGCCUGUGGAGCUCUGCCUUGAGGCCGCUCUCGCCGCACAGAGACUCAUAACGCAUGACCACCUCGACCUUUUCAUCCACCUCUGUGAGGACGCUAGGGCGGUCGAUGAGUUUAACUCCAUGGUCUUCAUGGACCACAUAAAAACCUUGGAGAAGUUCGUGCAAGAGCACAUUGACCUCGCCGACGCCGCUGCCACUUCACGUGCAACCACUCGCGAAGCAAAGUAA